AACGGAUUAAGAGCUUGCUCUUAAGAAGUUAGCGGCGGACGGGUGAGUAACACGUGGGUAACCUGCCCAUAAGACUGGGAUAACUCCGGGAAACCGGGGCUAAUACCGGAUAACAUCUUGCACCGCAUGGUGCAAGAUUGAAAGGCGGCUUCGGCUGUCACUUAUGGAUGGACCCGCGUCGCAUUAGCUAGUUGGUGAGGUAACGGCUCACCAAGGCGACGAUGCGUAGCCGACCUGAGAGGGUGAUCGGCCACACUGGGACUGAGACACGGCCCAGACUCCUACGGGAGGCAGCAGUAGGGAAUCUUCCGCAAUGGACGAAAGUCUGACGGAGCAACGCCGCGUGAGCGAUGAAGGCCUUCGGGUCGUAAAGCUCUGUUGUUAGGGAAGAACAAGUAUGAGUUGAAUAAGCUCAUGCCUUGACGGUACCUAACCAGAAAGCCACGGCUAACUACGUGCCAGCAGCCGCGGUAAUACGUAGGUGGCAAGCGUUAUCCGGAAUUAUUGGGCGUAAAGCGCGCGCAGGCGGUUUCUUAAGUCUGAUGUGAAAGCCCACGGCUCAACCGUGGAGGGUCAUUGGAAACUGGGAGACUUGAGUGCAGAAGAGGAGAGUGGAAUUCCAUGUGUAGCGGUGAAAUGCGUAGAGAUAUGGAGGAACACCAGUGGCGAAGGCGACUCUCUGGUCUGUAACUGACGCUGAGGCGCGAAAGCGUGGGGAGCAAACAGGAUUAGAUACCCUGGUAGUCCACGCCGUAAACGAUGAGUGCUAAGUGUUAGAGGGUUUCCGCCCUUUAGUGCUGAAGUUAACGCAUUAAGCACUCCCCCCGGGGGAGUACCGGCCGCAAGGCUGAAACUCAAAAGGAAUUUGACGGGGGGCCCCGCACAAACCGGGGGGAGCAAGGUGGGUUUAAUUCCAAAGCAACCCCGAAAAAACCUUUACCAAG
rnacentral:rRNA from 1 species